UCCCUGGCAGUCUAGUGGUUAGGAUUUCGCACUUUCACCGCCAUGGCCCAGGUUCAAUCCCUGGUCAGGGAA
rnacentral:tRNA from 1 species